rfam:Helianthus annuus linkage group 3, whole genome shotgun sequence.
AUACCUUUCUCGGCCUUUUGGCUAAGAUCAAGUGUAGUAUAUGUUCUAUAUCUGAUACGUGGGCCAACAACCCACUUUGUAUUAAUCUUAUUUUUCAUGGGGAAAGGCCCACCACAGUAGCUUGCUAUUGGUGUCUUUGCGCGUCUCAUUGGUCUUGCACAAUUGCCUUGGCCUGGUGUACCCCUC